rnacentral:rRNA from 1 species
CUGGCGGCGUGCCUAAUACAUGCAAGUGGAACGCAUGAUUGAUACCGGAGCUUGCUCCACCAUUAAUCAUGAGUCGCGAACGGGUGAGUAACGCGUAGGUAACCUACCUCAUAGCGGGGGAUAACUAUUGGAAACGAUAGCUAAUACCGCAUAACAGUAUUUAUCGCAUGGUAAAUGCUUGAAAGGAGCAACUGCUUCACUAUGAGAUGGACCUGCGUUGUAUUAGCUAGUUGGUGGGGUAACGGCUCACCAAGGCCUCGAUACAUAGCCGACCUGAGAGGGUGAUCGGCCACACUGGGACUGAGACACGGCCCAGACUCCUACGGGAGGCAGCAGUAGGGAAUCUUCGGCAAUGGGGGGAACCCUGACCGAGCAACGCCGCGUGAGUGAAGAAGGUUUUCGGAUCGUAAAGCUCUGUUGUAAGAGAAGAACGUGUGUGAGAGUGGAAAGUUCACACAGUGACGGUAACUUACCAGAAAGGGACGGCUAACUACGUGCCAGCCGCCGCGGUAAU